GUAGUCCACGCCGUAAACGAUGAAUACUAGGUGUCGGGGCACAACGUGCUUCGGUGCCGCAGCAAACGCAUUAAGUAUUCCACCUGGGGAGUACGUUCGCAAGAAUGAAACUCAAAGGAAUUGACGGGGACCCGCACAAGCGGUGGAGCAUGUGGUUUAAUUAGAAGCAACGCGAAGAACCUUACCAGUCCUUGACAUCCUGCUGACAGCCCCGUAACGGGGGAAUUCCUUCG
rnacentral:rRNA from 1 species